CACGGGUAUUUAGGAGAGGUAAAGUAGAUGUAAAAGUAGUGGGGACCACAUAAUUAGUGCUUUAAUUAAUGUUAUUUUAUUUCUUAAUUAAAAUGACUAAUCAAGUCUCUGCUCCUCCCUCUCUCUGUACGUGAGUUUUACCGCAGCUGUUCGCCGACUGUUUCAGCCACCGGUUGUUGGCCGUGACUCCGCCGGCUGCCCCUUUCCCUCCUCUGAACCUCUCAAUCCGACGCAGACACCACCAUGGACAGAGAGCCCCCUAAUUACUCAAGCUAUGAUACAGAUUAUCAGGACAACGAAAUACCGAAAUCAAGCUCAGAAACCAACCAAAUCAGACGAUUUUCCCUAAAUCCCUGCAAAUCCCUAAAUUAUUCGAGCAGAUCUGCCGCGGUGCAGGCGGUAGAAAGCGGCGCUGGAGCAUGGUGGAGACGGCGGAGGCGUUGGCCUUGGAGUCGGUGCAUUUCGCCUUCCUUUUGCAGAGGGCAGCGCCGCCGCUAGAAAAACGGGCGGCGGUUGGCUGCGCGGAUGUGUCUGGGAGAGGGAGUCGGUGGAGGCGGAGGAGAUCAGAGGCGAAGGCGGUGGAUGCAGAGGGUUGAGGCGGUGGAGAGAUAGGAGGCGGCGGCGCCUCGUCGACGCCAGGAGCCCUUGUCGCCGGAAAACGGACGGCGAGGUAGGGGCCUUGUUGCUGCGGUCACCGGGAGAGAAGAGGAACGGUGGUCAGAUUUGUGGGUUGAGGCAUCCGAGAGAGAGAAGAGGCGAAGAGAGAGAGAGAGUGUGAGAUUUGGGAAAGAGAGUGAGAGAGAGAGAGAGAGAGAGAGAUUAGAGUUAGAAAGGGAGAGAGAAUGUCUAAUUAAUUGAACUAAUUGUAUUGUAAUUUAUGCCAAAAAAGGAAAGGAGACUUGAAUAUUGGGACGGCCCAAAAAGAAAUAGGAGACUUGAAUAUUGG
rnacentral:lncRNA from 1 species